rnacentral:rRNA from 1 species
CGCUGGCGGCAGGCCUAACACAUGCAAGUCGAACGGACCCUUCGGGGUUAGUGGCGGACGGGUGAGUAACACGUGGGAACGUGCCUUUAGGUUCGGAAUAGCUCCUGGAAACGGGUGGUAAUGCCGAAUGUGCCCUUCGGGGGAAAGAUUUAUCGCCUUUAGAGCGGCCCGCGUCUGAUUAGCUAGUUGGUGGGGUAAUGGCCCACCAAGGCUACGAUCAGUAGCUGGUCUGAGAGGAUGACCAGCCACAUUGGGACUGAGACACGGCCCAAACUCCUACGGGAGGCAGCAGUGGGGAAUCUUGCGCAAUGGGCGAAAGCCUGACGCAGCCAUGCCGCGUGUAUGAUGAAGGUCUUAGGAUUGUAAAAUACUUUCACCGGUGAAGAUAAUGACUGUAGCCGGAGAAGAAGCCCCGGCUAACUUCGUG